GUGCAGUGAUGUAUCUGUCAACACAUCAUUCUGAAGGAAAGUAUGUGAUGACUUCUCAUUACUGAGCACA
ensembl:snoRNA SNORD63 Small nucleolar RNA SNORD63